UUCCAUACCGGGCACUCUGGGCUCACAGUGCACAGUUUCCAGCCGGAGUUAUUUUGGUGAUGUACUGUUGGUGUCGGCCGUGUAGCGAAGGUCCUCCCCUAACCUGCUUUUAGUUGGCUUAGCCUGAUAUCGCUUCCCUAAUUUUGACCAGUCACAACUCUCCAUGCCCAAACCUGCCCAAUCAGAGGCAAGCUGCGGUGGAGGCUGCCGGUUUCACGCCUGCACAGAAGUUCACUGCUUCUCCUCCCUCUUACAAGCUGUUUCAGAAAAUAUGAGUGAACCAUGGUGCCAUUGAAGCGAAGAAGAGUCACUGGGAACAUUGGGGCUGACAGCAGUGGAGAUCUUCCACCAACCCAGUUCCCCCAGGUCGUUCUGUUCCUGUUGGAGAGAAAAAUGGGAGCCAGUCGCAGAGCUUUCCUGUCCCAGCUGGGUCGAAAGAAAGGAUUUCGAGUGGAGGAAUCGUUCAGUCAAAGCAUCACACAUGUCAUUUCUGAAAACAACUCUGGUGAUGAGGUCCGGACGUGGCUGGACUCACAGCACACGGCUCAGGGCCGAGCUCCGCUUCACCUCCUGGACAUCAGCUGGUUCACAGAGAGCAUGCACGCAGGCCGUCCGGUUCCAAUCCUGGACAGACAUAAACUACAGCAGCAGCAGGUUGAUGAAGCAGAGGUUGUGGUGUUCUCAGUGCCCAGCUACGCCUGUCAGAGAAGAACCACUCCGGACGACAAUAACAGCCUCCUCACCGAUGCUUUGUCCCUCCUGGCUGAAAACGCUGAGCUCAGUGACCAGGAGGGGCGAGGUGUCGCGUUUCGCCGGGCUGCCGCCGUGUUGAAGGCUCUCCCUAAACCGGUGACGUGCAUGACGCAGCUCAGAGGGCUGCCCUGUCUCGGAGAACAUUCACUGAGAGUCAUCAAAGACAUUUUGGAUAAUGGUUUAUCUAGUGAGGUGGAAUCUAUGAAGCAAAGUGAGCAGUAUAAAGCUCGAAAGGUUUUAACAGGGGUUUUUGGUGUUGGACCAAAAACAGCAGACCGAUGGAUCAGAGAUGGGAUACACACUCUUCACCAGUUACGGGAUUCAGGACACUCACUCAAUCGAGCCCAACAAGCAGGUGUGGAGCACUAUGAAGACCUCAAUCAGCUGGUCUCUAAGGCGGAGGCUGACGCUGUUGAAGAGAUCGUGGCAAAAGCCGUCGUUUCUGUGUUACCAGGAGCACAGAUUGCUCUGACGGGAGGAUUCAGGAGAGGAAAGCUGACGGGUCAUGAUGUUGACUUCCUCAUAACCCACCCAGACGAAGGCAGCGAGGAGGGACUGAUGUCUAAAGUGGUGUCCUGGCUGGAGUCACAGGGUUUCCUGCUCUACCAGAAAACAACAAGAAACUCUUACCUGGAGUCAAAGGACGGCCCUGCUCGAAUUGCCUCCAACAUGGACCGCUUUGAGAGGUGUUUCUCCAUCUUCAAACUGGCCAAGGAGGAGAAACGGGAAACAAAACAGCCAGAGACACAGGGAGAAACUGGAUUACAGAAUACAGUAGAGGGCCCUUGCAGUGUUGGAGACCACACGCAGAUACAAGGUGAGGACUUGAGUCUGCAGACGGAUCAUACUUCACAGAGUCAGGUUCACGCUGGCGAACAGAGAUCCUGUGAAGAUGGAGGACUUGUGGAGAUAAAACCUGCAGGACACAGGCCGUGGAGAGCUGUGAGAGUGGACCUGGUGGUUUCUCCUUUCAGCCAGUUUACUUUUGCUCUGCUGGGCUGGACGGGAUCCAAGUUGUUUGAGAGAGAGCUGCGACGUUGGGCUGGACAGGAAAAGGCCAUGUCUCUAAACAGCCAUGCUCUAUAUGACAACACACAGAAGAGGUAUCUUAGAGCCACAUCAGAGGAAGAAAUAUUUGCUCAUCUCGGCCUGGAGUUCAUUCCUCCAUCAGAGAGAAACGCCUGAGGGGACCUGAGGAGAAUCUGCAGCAAGAGGGCCAAGGAAAGGUUAACGUAGCCUUCGGAUGGGGUGGAAGAGCAGGGGGGUGGCCCCGUUCAGACCUGGUAUCAACAUCUGUCCUGAGUGAUCCCAUCACAAGUGGACAGCUCUGAGUUCAGGUGUGAUCCCAUCAGCCACACCACACUCAGAGGUCUCCUGGGACCAAUGUGUCCAUAAUCUUUUAGCAGUGGGCACAUUAAUGCGAACGUGACAUUGAAGGACCGCCUACUCAGCUGAUGUCUUCUGAUGGUCUGCAUUUAUAUUUUGCAAUGCUCUAGUUUUGAUGAACACUGAAAGUGUUUUACAGCACAGUUUUGCCAUUCACCCAUUCCCACACACAUUCAUACAGUGCCAGGCAGCACUUUCUCUAUCACAUAUCACUCAGACACAGCUGAUAAGGAAUUGUUUGAUUGUAGUGCUGCAUGCAGCAUAUUGAUCCACUCAGCUCCUCUUGGCUCCACACUCUCUAUCUCUCUGAUCAGAACAGUAUGUGACGUUUGCAUAUAGAGCUGACAAGGGAGUUGAAUACCAGGUAUGAGCAGGGCUGAGGACUGGCCUGGUGAUACAUUCGUGCCCCACUGACCCCCCACUGACUAAACCAGCUAACUGUGUAUAAGGUGGUUAAAACUAUAACAAGUUUACUCAAGUAAGAGCCCUGGUAGCAUAAUGUAAAAAUAUUCAUUUAUAAGUACAACAGACAUUUAAGUAUCAGCAAUAAAAGUAUUUCUUCAGUUAAUUGAGAGAGACGAUGCUUCAGCUACAUUUUACUAUUGUAGCUGCUCCAUGUGGAGAUACUUAAACUGCUUAAUAUAUAGCUGGAAAGUUGUGUCCAGUGGGUCCCGACCUCUUGGUCGGGACCCACCAUAGGGUCUCCAGAUAAAUCUGACAUGAUUAAUGGGAGAAGAACGAAGAACAACAUUUCUGAAACACACACUUUAUUGGACUUUUCUCAGAUUUUGCUUUAUUUUGUGAAGAUAUUAUGAUUUGACUUCUGUCAUCAAAGUUUUUAGAAGUGGACGGUUACAGGUCAGAACUAAGUUCCUCUGAAAUGCAUGAGUGGAAGUAUAAAAUUGCAUAAAAUGAAAAUUACUUUAAAUUAGUACAUAAGCACAGUUAUACUCAACACUAGACUAAACUUAUAAAUGUAAAUAAAAAGGAACUAAAUGUAUAUAAACUGUAGUUAAAAGCAGCUUUAACAGUAAAAUUCAGCAGAAGUACUGAAGACUCAGUAAUAACAAUCUGGUCUGUUUUACUGUCUUAAAUAGUUUUACUUUGAUACCUUGCCGAGAAUAGUUUGCUCAAAUGCGGUUUUGAAUGCAGGACUUGUAAUGAAUCAUUUUGAAGACCGUUAUAUUGGUGUGUGAGUGCUUCCUUGCAUUUAUUUGUUUGACUUGUGUUAAAUCCUGCUCAAAUAAUGUAGAUAAUCCCUCUGAUACAUUCUUGCCCUGUUUGUUUUAAAUAACAGAGAUCCUCAUUUACAGUCGUGGCCUGUUAGGGGCUCCAGAUACAUUUCCCGUGUGUGUGUGUGUGUGUUAAGUGAUGUGUGAACUCAGAGGCGUUUCCUUCACCUCUUCCUAACAGCCUCAUUAACCUCUAAAUACCAGUUUAGGAUCAAAGGCUGUGUUGGUGCUCACACCUCCCUCUCCUCUCAUGUCCACUCUGUGACAUGUGCACACAUUUCAUAUAAUAUAUACACUGAAGAACAGAAUCUUUAAUUUUUCAAAUGUUAAACAGUUAACCUUUAUGAACUAUGUGUUGAGUCUGUGGUUUGAAGAAAUGUAGCUGGAAGAGAAAAUUACGUAUUUUACGUCUGUAAAUCACCAUUGACACGUCUCCGCUUUUGACACCGUAUGUGUGAAGCAAAAGUUUCUGGGGGACAAGAAGACAUGAGAGCAACAUCGUGCUGCAAGGAGACCUCAAGUCUGGGCCCCUGUGAGAACAGAGAGGAAAUGGGAUGUAGUUUGUGUGUAAAUGUAAAUUGAUUCAAGUGUGGAUGCAGGACCUGAUACCAACUGCUUUUUUUAAAGAAUAGAACUGGAAACAUUCUACGCAUCUCUUCUUCCAGCCACACCAGGCUUCAGUUAACAACACAAAGAAAAGCCAAGAGUGAUACUGAAAAGAGAAAGUGACGUAAGAGACAAAUAAGCAGUAUGGGAACCAUGUUUGUGAGUAAAAGUCCUGCAUUCAACACAGCAGGGGAUCCCCCCUGGAUUCACCAGGAGUAAGGGGGCGGGUUAACAUGUAACAGAUGCAAAAAUAAAAAAUAAAAAAAUAUAUAUCUCGGUGAAAAAGCGGUGACACACACAUUGAAGACACUGACGAAGAUGAAAAGAGAGUUUGAGGUGAUAAGAGGCGACACCGAGAGUCUGUGUGUUGUAAAAAAAAAAAAUCACGUGAUCUCCGCAGCGGAGUAAAUACGUCACUUCCUGCCUCCGCCUGCCGCACCCGGCAGCUCCACCUCCCGCCUGAAUAAUGUGGGGGAUUUGAUGCUGUUGUGAACGCGUCUGUGCAGAGAACCUCCCGCUGCGUUGUGCAUGAAAACGUUUUUAGAUAAAUAUGUUUGUUUCAUUUUCCUCAAAAUCAAUAUUUUCCUCCAGAUAAGAAAUCAUCUCUGUCCACACUAACACGCAUGACAACGCAUAUCACACAAUCACCCACAAACACUGCCAGAUUAGAGUAAGGUUUCAAAAAUCUGACGUAUAAAGCAAUAUGACAUCAUCAGCAAACACAAACAUUCCCUCAGAUACUGUAAGUCAGGCAUCAAUUUACAUUUUAGGUUUCUGUACACUGUCAUUUAGUUCUGCUUGUAUAAGGACUGUAAAAGUAAGAAUGGAUAUUCACCAGCACCUGCCGUAAAAUGUAUGAACCCUCAGGUGUGUAACUGCCUCCAGCAUUUAGAGAGAAAUUUAAAUUUCACAGUGUUAAAACAUGCCUCCCCUCCAUCACUCCAUCCCACCAUCUUCCCCCAUUUGACGAGGGGAGUCGCAGCGCCUGCUCGUCCACCGGGACCAGUCCCACUGGCCCCAUCAAAGCCCAGGGAGCCUUUGAUGAGGUUGAUAGGGAUCAAUAGGACAGGGGAAGAGACCUUAACUGACUGUGUUACAGACGGGGCGGGCAACUGCUGGAGACUGCCGGCAAUGGAGAUCAAUGAUUAUUAGGCGUCAUCACCGCCUUGAUCUGCAUAAAGGAAUCCACUCAGCAUCAGACUCUGUCUUGGUUAAGGUUGUUUAAGGUUUUAGGUGAUUUCUUUAUGGCUUUGUUUGCUUUAUGUCAAAAAAUGAUAUCCAGGGGAAGAAAACACUAAUCUAUAAAAUGUUCUGCAGUUUGGUUGAGUUUGAUUAUUCCCACUGUCAUUUCAACUCCAUUGAAUAGACCUCAAGUCUGCUGUUCAUUUUGAGAAUAUAUUUUGUAGGAUAAAUUGUGGUGUUCAGGGAUGUUUAUUAGUCAAAUCUUUUUUUUUUGAUAAGAAAUUAAAAAGUAGAUUCAUUAAGAUUCAAGAUUCAGAUUCGAUGAUUUAUUGCCACACAACUCGGUGGUUUGGAAUUUGCCUCAGUGUGCCCACGAAAGUAGUGAAAACAAAGGGAAUUUGUUUAAUCAUGAAAAAAAGAACCACCUUGGUGUUGUACUGUGGAUGAAUCCACUGCAGUCCCCAACAACUGCUCUAUGUCUUCCUGUUUGAUGGACUGGGGUUUCUGUACAAAUGAAGACAGUGAGACCAAAGGAGAUAUUGGCUACUAUAUAGCAGAGAUCUGAUCACUGCAUCCCAGUGUGUUGGGACAUGUGUCUCCCUCCGGUCUAAUGACAGUGCCUGGGGGGGGGCGGUGUUGUUAGGUGUGUUUGUGUCCAUAACAGAGCAGCAAACAGGCCCAUUAGAGAUGAAAGAGUCUGAAUGGAGCCAAUCAAAGACGAAGCCAGCAGGAGACCAUUACCCCACAGACAGCAGCAGCCUGGGACUGGGGCCGAGGAGGAUGAAUGACCUCUUCUUCAUGGAUAAGGAGAGUUUACACACACACACACACACACACACACACACACACACACACAUAUAUCAAGAUUGACCUAGAAUGUCCACGUGUGUGUUUCUUUCAGAUAAACCUGGCAUGUCCUGUGUUUGAGUAUGACAGACCAGAGCAUUACAAAAAUAAACAAAUCCAGACAGCUGAGUUUUGGCAGAGACCCUUGGUUCAGCAGAUGAGCAGAAAAUCUAUUCAAAUAAUCUAAAAAAAAUUAACAAUGGCCUUCAGUAACAUGCCACCCAGUCGCCAAGUUAAAAAGUGCAACUCUUCAUUAUGAAAUUGUCUUUAUAGAAACAUUUGCCCAAACAUCAGUUUUGUUUCCAUGUCUGCAGGAAAUCCUUCUGGAGUAUCAUAUAUAUUUCCUUUCCUCUUCCC